rnacentral:rRNA from 1 species
GUGGGGAAUAUUGGACAAUGGGCGAAAGCCUGAUCCAGCCAUGUCGCGUGUGUGAAGAAGGUCUUCGGAUUGUAAAGCACUUUAAGUUGGGAGGAAGGGCAGUAAGUUAAUACCUUGCUGUUUUGACGUUACCAACAGAAUAAGCACCGGCUAACUUCGUGCCAGCAGCCGCGGUAAUACGAAGGGUGCAAGCGUUAAUCGGAAUUACUGGGCGUAAAGCGCGCGUAGGUGGUUCAGCAAGUUGGAGGUGAAAUCCCCGGGCUCAACCUGGGAACUGCCUCCAAAACUACUGAGCUAGAGUACGGUAGAGGGUAGUGGAAUUUCCUGUGUAGCGGUGAAAUGCGUAGAUAUAGGAAGGAACACCAGUGGCGAAGGCGACUACCUGGACUGAUACUGACACUGAGGUGCGAAAGCGUGGGGAGCAAACAGGAUUAGAUACCCGGUAGUCC